UACGGAGGGCGCGAGCGUUAAUCGGAAUUACUGGGCGUAAAGGGUGCGUAGGUGGUUUGAUAAGUUAGUUGUGAAAUUUCCGGGCUUAACCUGGGCGAGUCAACUAAGACUGUUAGACUAGAGUAUGAGUAGAGGGUAGAGGAAUUUCCGGUGUAGCGGUGAAAUGCGCAGAUAUCGGAAGGAACACUAGUGGCGAAGGCGUCUACCUGGACGGAUACUGACACUGAGGCACGAAAGCGUGGGGAGCAAACAGG
rnacentral:rRNA from 1 species